CCGUGCGGGUGCUUACACCAUGCCAGUUGAACGAUGAAAGCUGGAGCUUGCUCUAGCUGGAUUAGUGGCGAACGGGUGAGUAACACGUGAGCAAUCUGCCCUGGACUCUGGGAUAACCCCGAGAAAUCGGAGCUAAUACCGGAUACGACACCUCCCGGCAUCGGGUGGGUGUGGAAAGAAUUUCGGUCCAGGAUGAGCUCGCGGCCUAUCAGCUUGUUGGUGAGGUAACGGCUCACCAAGGCGACGACGGGUAGCCGGCCUGAGAGGGUGACCGGCCACACUGGGACUGAGACACGGCCCAGACUCCUACGGGAGGCAGCAGUGGGGAAUAUUGCACAAUGGGCGCAAGCCUGAUGCAGCAACGCCGCGUGGGGGACGACGGCCUUCGGGUUGUAAACCUCUUUUAGUAGGGAAGAAGCGCGAGUGACGGUACCUACAGAAAAAGCACCGGCUAACUACGUGCCAGCAGCCGCGGUAAUACGUAGGGUGCAAGCGUUGUCCGGAAUUAUUUGGGCGUAAAGAGCUCGUAGGCGGUUUGUCGCGUCUGCUGUGAAAAUCCGAGGCUCAACCUCGGACCUGCAGUGGGUACGGGCAAACUAGAGUGCGGUAGGGGAGAUUGGAAUUCCUGGUGUAGCGGUGGAAUGCGCAGAUAUCAGGAGGAACACCAAUGGCGAAGGCAGAUCUCUGGGCCGUAACUGACGCUGAGGAGCGAAAGCGUGG
rnacentral:rRNA from 1 species